rnacentral:piRNA from 1 species
UGCAGACCAAAGGUACCGGUGCUUCU